GUAAGGAAUAUUGGUCAAUGGAGGCAACUCUGAACCAGCCAUGCCGCGUGCAGGAAGACGGCCCUAUGGGUUGUAAACUGCUUUUAUACGGGAAUAAACCUCUCUACGUGUAGGGAGUUGAAUGUACUGUAAGAAUGAGGAUCGGCUAACUCCGUGCCAGCAGCCGCGGUAAUACGGAGGAUCCAAGCGUUAUCCGGAUUUAUUGGGUUUAAAGGGUGCGUAGGCGGCCUAUUAAGUCAGGGGUGAAUGACGGUGGCUCAACCAUCGCAGUGCCCUAGAUACUGAUGGACUUGAUUACACUUGAGGUAGGCAGAAUGUGACAAGUAGCGGUGAAAUGCAUAGAUAUGUCACAGAACACCAAUUGCGAAGGCAGCUUACUAAGGUGUCAAUGACGCUGAGGCACGAAAGCGUGGGGAUCAAACAGGAUUAGAUACCCGAGUAGUCC
rnacentral:rRNA from 1 species